rnacentral:lncRNA from 1 species
UCAAGGCUCGCGUUCUACGGGGAACUUUUUUGACUAUUUACCUUCGCCGGAAGCAAAGGGCGAAAACUCCAAAACUAGUAAGGGUGCUUGUGUUGUGGUUUUGAGUUCCUUGGCUUGUGUUCUAAUAGUAACCACAGGAAGAAAGCGGGGAGCAUGGUCCCUAGUCUCGUUUUUGCCGAGCCUGAUUCUCUAUGGCAUGGACUUGAUUGGAUGGAGACAGAUAUAUAGAAAGUGUGCAGUGAGGGUGCUUGUAAAUCACUAGGUAGCCUAGCUCGACCCAAGCAAUGCCCAAAAGUCCCAUGCCUUUCUUGGUCGGACCAACCCAACCGGCGAUUUCCGACAAGUCUUUCUGAAUUGGAAGAGCAAGAAGCGGAACUAGAAGAAAACUUUCUUUCUCUUUAUGGAUAACCAAUUCAUUU